ACGUAGGGGGCGAGCGUUAUUCGGAAUUACUGGGUGUAAAGGGUAUGUAGGCGGCCCUUCAAGUCGCGUGUCAAAGUCCAGUGCUCAACGCUGGGUGUGCGCGCGAUACUGACGGGCUUGAGGGCUGGAGAGGUGAGCGGAAUUCCCGGUGUGGUGGUAAAAAACGUAGAGAUCACGAGAAACACCAGAGGCGAGGGCGGCAAACUAGAUAGUUUCUGACGCUAAGAUGCGUAAGCGUGUUGUGCUUAUAG
rnacentral:rRNA from 1 species